AUGGCGGACGUAAGUCACGAGUCAAUGAUGGAGUACUAUCAUAUUGCCAACAAGAUGUUUAAUAGUGAGGAUGAAGGUUAUACAUUCUAUAACAAAUAUGGUCUUGAGAAAGGUUUUAGUGUCCCGAGAAGCUAUGUCGAGUGGGAUGGAUCCAACUGCCAUAUAAUUUUAAGGAAAUUUGUGUGUAGUCGUGAAGGGGUUCGUAAAGAGAAGCACAUGAAGAGGAAGAUGGAAGAUAGAAAGAGGAGGCCACGGAGUAUAACUCGUGUAGGGUGUAAAGCUAAAUUGGUGAUUGCAAGACAGGAGGAAACAUGUCAGUGGUUUGUCAAGGAUUUCAUCGAUGAACACAACCAUCCUCUAGCCCCACGGGAUCUAUUGUGUCUUUUGCGUUCACACAGAAGAAUUAGCGAUGAGCAGAAAGCGGACAUUGCAGACAUGGAAAAAUCUGGGAUCAGAAAACACCAUAUUAUGGAUAUUAUAUGCAUGCAAUACGGUGGAUAUGAUGAGGUUGGAUGCAUUAUGAGGGACAUUUACAAUUUCUGCCAUGCUAACAAGCAGGAAACAAUUUCUUUCGGGGAUGCUCAAACAGUGAUCAAUCACAUGGUGGCGAGGCAAGAGCAAGAUUCAGAUUUUUUCUUCAGGUACUUGGUU
rnacentral:rRNA from 1 species